rnacentral:rRNA from 1 species
GACGAACGCUGGCGGCGUGCUUAACACAUGCAAGUCGAACGGAAAGGCCCUGCUUUUGUGGGGUGCUCGAGUGGCGAACGGGUGAGUAACACGUGAGUAACCUGCCCUUGACUUUGGGAUAACUUCAGGAAACUGGGGCUAAUACCGGAUAGGAGCUCCUGCUGCAUGGUGGGGGUUGGAAAGUUUCGGCGGUUGGGGAUGGACUCGCGGCUUAUCAGCUUGUUGGUGGGGUAGUGGCUUACCAAGGCUUUGACGGGUAGCCGGCCUGAGAGGGUGACCGGCCACAUUGGGACUGAGAUACGGCCCAGACUCCUACGGGAGGCAGCAGUGGGGAAUUUGCACAAUGGGCGGAAGCCUGAUGCAGCAACGCCGCGUGCGGGAUGACGGCCUUCGGGUUGUAAACCGCUUUCGCCUGUGACGAAGCGUGAGUGACGGUAAUGGGUAAAGAAGCACCGGCUAACUACGUG